rnacentral:misc_RNA from 1 species
GAUGAAGAACGCAGCGAAAUGCGAUAAGUAGUGUGAAUUGCAGAAUUCAGUGAAUCAUCGAAUCUUUGAACGCACAUUGCGCCCUCUGGUAUUCCGGGGGGCAUGCCUGUUCGAGCGUCAUUAUAACCACUCAAGCUCUCGCUUGGUAUUGGGGUUCGCGGUUCCGCGGCCCCUAAAAUCAGUGGCGGUGCCUGUCGGCUCUACGCGUAGUAAUACUCCUCGCGAUUGAGUCCGGUAGGUCUACUUGCCAGCAACCCCCAAUUUUUACAGGUUGACCUCGGAUCAAGUAGGGAUACCCGCUGAACUUAAGCAUAUCAAUAAGCGGAGGA